CCCCUAGAUGUUCUGGGCCGCACGCGCGCUACACUGAACAGUUCAACAAGUCUUAACCUUGGCCGAUAGGUCUGGGUAAUCUUUGAACGCUGUUCGUGAUUGGGAUAGACCUUUGCAAUUAUGGGUCUUCAACGAGGAAUUCCUAGUAAACGCAAGUCAUCAGCUUGCAUUGAUUACGUCCCUGCCCUUUGUACACACCGCCCGUCGCACCUACCGAUUGAAUGGUCCGGUGAAGCCUCGGGAUUGCGAAUGCUUCGUGCGGACGCGAGAACUUGGCUAAACCUUACCAUUUAGAGGAAGGUGAAGUCGUAACA
rnacentral:rRNA from 1 species